GAUUCCCCUCACUCUGGAUCGUUAUGGGGGAGGUCUCCCUUCGAGCUCCGCCGAUCUGAAAGCCUUUCGGGUCUGCGCCUCAGCACCAACCACCCCCUAGAACCUCCGCUUUUGGAGCUUUCUGGGCUGCGGAGGGCCGCAUCCAUCCACCUCCCGCUGAUCCGGGGCUCCCACUCCGUACCUGGACAGCAGCGCACUCCAGGAGCGCUCACCGACCGAAAGAACUUGGGCGAGGCCAGGCGCGAACUUUCGUCUUUUCCGCGGACAAUUUGCUUGGCCCAGUGUGGCUCUGCCCGGUCACUCCAGCACCCCCUGCGCGCUCCUGGGAAUGGAUCGACCCAGUGACCAGACGGCCGGGAGGAGCGCCCGGGGCACCGGGCCAGUCCAGCAGCCUCCAGCUCCGGCCAAGCCGUUGGGAACCGAGAUCCGCAAGAGCAGAGACCCGCCGAGGGUGAUUCACCUGCCGAGGAUGGGCGGGCCCUGCGCGCACCUGUUGGCUCCAGGUCCACACCCCUGUCCCGGGCCGCGAUGGACCCGCCUAGGUGCAUCCUGCUGGGAGGGGCAAGUCUCCGCCUGGUCCCGGCUGGCAAAGGGCGAGUGGUGACGCCUGUCCUACCCCUUCUCUGCUUCUCCAUCCUUGGUGGAGGAAGUCGCUGUGAGCAUCCCGCGCCCCCGCCACCCCCAGCGAGAUGAAGAAUCAAUGAAGUCCCCCCGCAUCCCCCAGAAGGGACCUUCUGACCUCUCCUCCCAGGGACAACCGUGAGACCUCAGUUCCUGAACAAGUUGCAAUUCUCCUUGAGAAGUUUUUGCAUCCUCCCCCUUGCCCUGAACCCGUGAUUCAGCCCCCCUUCCCCCGGGAAUCCUUCGCCCCAGGCCAGACCUCCGGAAGUGCUGAUGGUUAAAGGGUCUGGGGAAGACGUGAGGCUGGAGACCGUCGCCAGGCAGUGGCCUAAGGUCACCUGUCCCUCAGACCCGGGCACCGCGCGGCUCUCUGCGGGACGCUGCUGCCCCCCGGUGGCGUCGCAGGGUAGAGCACACCGGAGAGUCCUCCAGCCACAUUGUGAUCAGGUCCCGGAUUCUGCUGACAUCACCUUGGACUCAGGCUCCUUCAACUUCAGCUGUAACACUCCUAGGCUAGCCCCAAGAACACUAACCCAAAUUGUCACCAAUCAUUUAGAACACAUCAGUUUAUGGGGGCCCUCUGAUUCAAACCACCACAGGCCUAAGUGGUGAUGGUUACAGUGUGUCUGGGGAGAUGGCUCAGUGGAUGGUUACAGGACAGACAGCUCUACUCCGGCCAGAGAUCUCUGCUUCCCACAUGAUGUCCCAACCCCCUCUGCCAUGCCUUUCUCACUGUGGUGAUUGUAUCCCCUUUUUUAUUUUUUGGGCUUAAAAAAUAUUUUUAUUUGGCUACAGCCAGUUUCCCCAUGCCAGUGUUUGACACACACUCUUGUUCCUGUUGUCCACUUAUGUGGGCCAGGGGGGUGAU